rnacentral:lncRNA from 1 species
UUUUCAGAAUUGACUGAAAGCUGCUGAGAAAGCUCUUCCUUGCUUCUUAGUUCUUAAAAGGGCUUUGACACACUGGCAAGAGUCCAGUGUUUGGAACUUUGGGUUCUAAGCGAGGAGGGAGCGGCUACAUUUACAUGUCCUGGCAAUUCCUCUUUUUGCUACUUUUUGGAGUUGUUCUCUGGAAAAUUUCCUGAUAUUGCCAGGAAGCUGCCACUUUGAAGGAUUUCAUCUCUGAAAGAGAAAGACUAGGAGGUGAGACCUUGGGAGGCCAAGUGCUGUCCGUGGCUGAGCUGGAGAGUACCUGUGUUGAGCGUGUCAUUCAUCUUAAAGUGAUUGACCAUUUAUGGGGAUGGUGAGAAGGAGAAGAGCAUAAAGCAGAUCAAUAGAAAGAAGGCAGAAAAUGGAGAAACAGGAAGAAGGAGACUGAGUUGGGGGAGUACUGGGAGAGCAAUGGAUUUGAGGAAAAGAUGAAGAUGAUAAGAUUAUGUGUGAUGGGAGAGACUCAUAAAUGUCAUGGAAUAAUGGAAUUUGAGUCUGCAUUGUUUGACUACA